GCGGGCGUAGCCAAGUGGUAAGGCACUGUAUUGUGGCUUCAGUAUUCGCGGGUUCGAGUCCCGUCGUUCGCCC
rnacentral:tRNA from 1 species